rnacentral:misc_RNA from 1 species
AACGCACCUUGCGCCCUUUGGUAUUCCGAAGGGCAUGCCUGUUUGAGUGUCAUAAAGUCUUCACCUUUUCAGAGUUUUCUGAAUCGGUGCUUUGGGUGUUGCCAGUGAUGGCUCACCUUAAAUGUCUAAGUGGAUGAUGCGUGAUAAGUUAUCGCUCCUGUCCACUCUAAUACUCUAUAACUCUGACCUCAAAUCAGGUAGGACUACCCGCUGAACUUAA